rnacentral:rRNA from 1 species
GAUCAAGCGCGAUAAGGGCAUUUGGUGGAUGCCUUGGCACCAGAAGGCGAUGAAGGACGUGGCACUCUGCGAAAAGUUCCGGGGAAUUGAGAGCAAAUGUUGAUCCGGAAAUUUCCGAAUGGGGAAACCCGACCCCCUAGGGGGUCAUCGACAGCUGAAUCCAUAGGCUGGCGAGGCGAACCCGGCGAACUGAAAUAUCUCAGUAGCCGGAGGAAAGGACAUCAACCGAGACUCCGUUAGUAGUGACGAGCGAACGCGGACCAGGCCAUUGGGUCAUGAAGAACAACCGGAACCGUCUGGAAAGUCGGGCCAAAGGGGGUGACAGCCCCGUACGGGUCAUGUCUUCGUGAGCCAUCGAGUAGGGCGGGACACGUGAAAUCCUGUCUGAACAUGGGGGGACCACCCUCCAAGCCUAAGUACUCUCUGGUGACCGAUAGUGAACAAGUACCGUGAGGGAAAGGUGAAAAGCACCCCGAUGAGGGGAGUGAAAAAGAACCUGAAACCGGAUGCCUACAAGCAGUCGGAGGGGAACAUGACGCUACGGCGCCGUGGUGCCCUGACGGCGUACCUUUUGCAUAAUGGGUCAGUGACUUGGUAUCUGCAGCAAGCUUAAGCCGUUAGGUGUAGGCGUAGCGAAAGCGAGUCUGAACAGGGCGUCGAGUUGCAGGUAUCAGACCCGAAACCGGGUGAUCUAGCCAUGGGCAGGUUGAAGGUGCGGUAACACGCACUGGAGGACCGAACCCACGUCUGUUGAAAAAGGCGGGGAUGACCUGUGGCUAGGGGUGAAAGGCCAAUCAAACCCGGAGAUAGCUGGUUCUCCGCGAAAGCUAUUUAGGUAGCGCGUCGUGUAUUGCCCUCGGGGGUAGAGCACUGGAUGGGCUAGGGGGGAGCGAUCCUUACCAAACCUAACCAAACUCCGAAUACCGUGGAGCACAGCACGGCAGACAGACUAUGGGUGCUAAGAUCCGUGGUCGAAAGGGAAACAGCCCAGACCGCCAGCUAAGGUCCCCAAGUUAUGGCUAAGUGGGAAAGCAUGUGAGACGGCCAAGACAACCAGGAGGUUGGCUUAGAGGCAGCCAUCCUUUAAAGAAAGCGUAACAGUUCACUGGUCUAGACAAGCUGUUUUGCGGCGAAGAUUUAACGGGGCUCAAGCCAUACACCGAAGCUGCGGAUCCGGAAGUCUCUUCCGGAUGGUAGCGGAGCGUUCCGUAGGCCUGUGGAGGCGGACCUGUGAGGGCCGCUGGAGGUAUCGGAAGUGAGUAUGCUGACAUGAGUAGCGAUAAAGAGUGUGAGAAACACUCUCGCCGAAAUCCCAAGGGUUCCUGCGCAAGGUUAAUCCACGCAGGGUGAGCCGGCCCCUAAGGCGAGGCCGAAAGGCGUAGUCGAUGGGAACCAGGUCAAUAUUCCUGGGCCUGCCAGAUGUGACGAACUUCGUAGAUUGUCCGGGCUUAUCGGAUUGCUCCGGGCAGUGAAGAAGUUCCAGGAAACAGCUCUGGCAUCAAGACCGUACCCUAAACCGACACAGGUGGGAUGGUAGAGUAUACCGAGGCGCUUGAGAGAACGAUGUUGAAGGAACUCGGCAAAUUGCCUCCGUAACUUCGGAAGAAGGAGGCCCUGUCCGCGGGCAACCGCGGGUGGGGGGCACAGAGCGGGGGGUAGCGACUGUUUACUAAAAACACAGGGCUCUGCUAAGUCGCAAGACGACGUAUAGGGUCUGACGCCUGCCCGGUGCCGGAAGGUUAAGGGGAGGGGUGCAAGCUCUGAACCGAAGCCCCGGUAAACGGCGGCCGUAACUAUAACGGUCCUAAGGUAGCGAAAUUCCUUGUCGGGUAAGUUCCGACCUGCACGAAUGGCGUAACGACUGCCCCGCUGUCUCCAACAUCGACUCAGCGAAAUUGAACUCUCCGUGAAGAUGCGGAGUACCCGCGGUCAGACGGAAAGGCCCCGUGCACCUUUACUACAGCUUUGCAGUGGUA